CUCAACGAGCAAUAUAGUGAAGACUUUUGCAAAAUACUUCAGAAGAAAAGCAGAAAAAUCUCUAUAACCACAGGAACAGGAACAGUGUGGGAAAGUCCUUUCCUCCUCCAUCAACAGACUUUCAUUAGAUAGGUCAUUAAUUUUUAGUAUCUGAAUUAGCUUUAACUACAAGAAUUUGGAAUUA
rnacentral:lncRNA from 1 species